UAUAGAUUAGUUGUUCUCACAUACUUGACCUUUGAAGGCAUCUGAGGAAAUAUGUAAAGCAGACGCCGAUUAUAGAAACCCUAUUCCGACCGAUUGUUUUGUUUCUUUGUCUUUUGAUUUAAUAGGGACAACAUAAUUCACUUGCGUAUAAUUAUAUUAACUCUAUUUAUUGUCACUGUAAAGUAACGGAGAAAUAUAUCCC
rnacentral:lncRNA from 1 species